rnacentral:rRNA from 1 species
CAGUAGCCGCGGUAAUACGAAGGGGGCUAGCGUUGCUCGGAAUGACUGGGCGUAAAGGGUGCGUAGGCGGUUUGAUAAGUCAUCUGUGAAAUCUCUGGGCUCAACCCAGAGUCUGCAGGCGAAACUGUCGGGCUUGAGUAUGGGAGAGGUGAGUGGAAUUUCCGGUGUAGCGGUGAAGUGCGUAGAUAUCGGAAGGAACACCUGUGGCGAGAGCGGCUCACUGGACCAUAACUGACGCUGAUGCACGAAAGCUAGGGGAGCAAACAGGAUUAGAUACCCCUGUAGUCCCUGUCUCUUAUAA